UCCUCUGUGGAAACACUGUAUGCUUUGACACUGACCCAUCUCUCCAUCCCUUGUUCUGUGACCAGUGAGCCCUCACUUGGCUUUAGAAGAUCCUUGUAUGAGAUGGUUCAACCUAAACUGUAAAAACAUAGUGAACUGAAAUCCCUGGAAAGGCCACAUGCCACAUGUAUUGAAGAGCCUUCCUUCCAGUUCUAUAAAUUCUGUCUCUCUCUCUCUCAAUCUCGGGGUACUGGUGUCAUCCCAGGCAGAGCAUCUGUCCAUCUCCAUUCCUGACCGCAUGCUUUCUCCACGGUCUUCAGUCCCGGUAUUUCCAAACUGACCAAGGCUCUACUGGCAGCUUAAGACCCUACCUGGAAGAGUCAAACCGAGGACAGCCUCAAGUCCAAAGAGUAAUGUCGACUGUGUAUUUUGACAUGGAUGGCUGAGAAUCCUCUAUGCUGUCUUGAAGCACGAAGGGAAUUGUCCUCGUAAAAUGAUGCAUGAUGGAUGUCAUUGCUAGAUGCUUUGACAUUUUGGGAAGAAACAGUUUGCAGACAUCCUGGCCUGGAGCAACCCCUGCUUCUGCCAGAAUACUUACUCACCCAGGACUGCAACAGAAAUCUCUCUGUAAAAUAUUGUAGACGAGAAAGAAAUUAAUGCAAGACCCGUUAUCACUCAGAGAAAGCAACCGGAUGGCAAUGGCUACUCCCCAGUACAAGCAUUCAAGCUAACAGUUUCCCAGACUCCAAGAAGAUCAAGGGGACUACAAACCCAUUUUAGGGGGCAUUAAAUUAAGUCCAAUAUUUUAUCUUUAUAGGAUAUAUAUUCUCCAGAGAGCUUCAAAAAUGCCAAUGGUUAACGGCGUCUAAUGUUCUGGAGAUAUAUAUGAUAUUUAUAUAUAUAUAUACAUAUAAUGCAAUUUAUGUCUGUUCACUAUGGUAUUCUAAACCUGGCACAGAACAUAGAACCUUUCUGACAGGUGGCUUGAAUGCCUGUUUCCCAAGAUUGAUUUAAAAUAUUAGACAUGAAUACCCAAGAAGGAUUUGUACAGGACUACUGCUAACGAUGGGAAGUUUAAGCUUUCCCCUAUUUCUCCAAGAUCAAGACACGAGUCUGUCCCAUUUUCCCCAGCGUUGUGAAUUGUCCCAAUGCUCUUAUCUGCUCAGUUUGAAAUAUAAAUAUUGCUUGAUGUUUAAAAAUCACGCUUCUCAGGUGAUUUGUGUGCUGGCCUCUCAGAAAUAUUAUUCCUGUCCCCCUUGUAAUCAAUUUUAUGCAAAUGAUUCUCAAAACGUGUCAAGCUCUGGAGUUACUUUCAUGAGUUAAAUCAGAUGUGUUCUGCCCAUGUUGCAUAUAAUAUGAUAUAAAACAUGAAAAUCAGACAGUAUUUUCAUCUUAAUUUCCCUUCCUAUUUCAGUCUGUGUGUCUGCCUCAAUUAAUGACU